UACGAAGGGGGCUAGCGUUGUUCGGAAUUACUGGGCGUAAAGCGCACGUAGGCGGCUCAUUUAGUCAGGGGUGAAAUCCCGGGGCUCAACCUCGGAACUGCCUUUGAUACUGAUGGUCUCGAGUCCGGAAGAGGUGAGUGGAAUUCCUAGUGUAGAGGUGAAAUUCGUAGAUAUUAGGAAGAACACCAGUGGCGAAGGCGGCUCACUGGUCCGGUACUGACGCUGAGGUGCGAAAGCGUGGGGAGCAAACAGG
rnacentral:rRNA from 1 species